AACGAACGCUGGCGGCGCGCUUAACACAUGCAAGUCGAACGAGAAGGCGUAGCAAUACGCUUGUACAGUGGCGAACGGGUGAGUAAUACGUGGGCGACCUACCCUCGAGUGGGGAAUAACCCGCCGAAAGGCGGGCUAAUGCCGCGUACGCUUCCAUCUUUAUGGAGGUGGAAGGAAAGCCGUGCCGUGGGCACGGCGCUCAAGGAUGGGCUCACGUCCUAUCAGCUUGUUGGAGGGUAACGGCCUACCAAGGCUCCGACGGGUAGCUGGUCUGAGAGGACGAUCAGCCACACUGGCACUGCGACACGGGCCAGACUCCUACGGGAGGCAGCAGUGAGGAAUAUUGCGCAAUGGGCGAAAGCCUGACGCAGCGACGCCGCGUGGGGGAUGAAGGUCUUCGGAUUGUAAACCCCUUUCGGGAGGGAAGAUGGGACGGGCAACCGUUCGGACGGUACCUCCAGAAGCAGCCACGGCUAACUUCGUGCCAGCAGCCGCCGU
rnacentral:rRNA from 1 species